rnacentral:rRNA from 1 species
UACGAAGGACCCGAGCGUUAUCCGGAUUCAUUGGGUUUAAAGGGUGCGUAGGUGGAUUGAUAAGUCAGUGGUGAAAUCUCAUGGCUCAACUGUGAAACUGCCAUUGAUACUGUCAAUCUUGAGUACAUAUGAUGUGGGCGGAAUGUGCCAUGUAGUGGUGAAAUACUUAGAUAUGGCACAGAACACCGAUUGCGAAGGCAGCUCACAAAACUGUAACUGACACUGAGGCACGAAAGCGUGGGGAUCAAACAGG